AUGAAUAUUGCCCUCCUCUCCAAAUGGCUUUGGCGAAUUCAGACUGAUGAGGGUGGCCUGUGGCUGGAGAUUAUCCGCGCGAAGUACCUUCGCGGGCACCCGCUGGCCUUCGCCCCUAGAUCCGGAGGGUCCCAAUUCUGGCAAUCGGUUAUCCAUCUGAUGCCGGUCUUGCGCAUUGGGACCUCCAUUAGAGUGGGCACCGGGUCCGGCACCCUAUUCGGGCUUGAUAGGUGGGCCGGGACCCGUCCCUCUGCGAAACGCUUUUAUGCGUUAUUCUCGAUCUGUGUCCGCCCACAACUUUCUAUGGCUGUGGCUUUAGCUAACUUGGGUGCUAUUGCCUUCCGCCGUACCUUCGGGAUGGUGGAGCUCGAGCAAUGGAUGAAUUACUCGAGUGCAUUGCCCUCCACUCCCCCUCCCUUGAGCCCGAUUCGCUAUCUUGGCAUCUCGAACCAAGCGGCAGAUUCUCGACUAGGUCCCUAUACCAGGCAUUGUUCCCACCCCUGGCCCGAUGGAACUAUCGGUGCUUUAGGAGAUCAAACUCCCCUUGAAAAUCCACAUAUUUCUCUGGCAAUGGGUCCGAGGUCGCCUCCCUUCGGGAACGGAGGUCCAAAAACGUAA
rnacentral:rRNA from 1 species